UACUCAGUUGCAAAACUUUAUUUUGUAUCUGUAACAAAUGAAAAAAGAGGUCAUAUCUGCCAUCUUCUUUCAAUGGGCUGACCAGGAAACAGCCAUCUCCUGCAGGCAUUUGGCUGAGUCUCCAUAUAUAAACACAAAGGAGAUUUUGUGAGCCUUUCCCAAAGUGUCUCGAGCAGGCUGUGAGGUCCAAGAAACCCUUCCUGGAGCUUUUUUCCUGGUUUGGAUUUCUUAUCCUUGUCACCAACCAGAGUCUGAGUCCCAGCACCAUUCCACCAUUGAAGUGAGAUUCUCCAACUGGCUGCCUAACUCUCUGAAAACACCCACCUGAAUUCUCUGCGCCCAACAGAGCAGCCCAAGGAUAAACCCUCCAGUAAAUCCUAUGUGACUGAAGAUAUAGGAGCCUGCCUGAAGUCGUGACCAGGAGCCAUCCCCAGUUACCAACACACUGCAGGCUCAACCAGACAGGCUCAACUCUGCGAGAGGACAAAAUCAUUCCACGUUUCCCUGGCGAGUUCAGGCUCCCUGAGCAUGUGUGGGUGUGUCUUGUGUCUUCCUGCCCGUGGAAGUCUCUCAUCUGAGUAUGCUGUUCACCUCUCUGCUGCGCCUUUCAUUCAGGCCAGAAACCCAUCUAAUUGGCAGGGAAGGCAGUUUCUUCCCAGCUGCCUUUCAAAGUGGUUUCUCAACUGUUCAGGGAAGCAGAACCACCCAUACCCCUUCACUGGAGGACACUCUGGCAGACAGCACACCGGGUGGAGGAUCCCUGUCACAUGUUUGCAGCACCAUGAACACAUCCAGGCUCUCAGUCCACCCCAGAAUUCUGACAACCUCAAGGUUCAGUUUCAGGAUGUUGUAAGGAGCAAUUACUCCUCCAAAUUAAAACAUUGCAGGAUAUAAGGAAAAUGGGGUGGUAAAAGAGCUAUGCCAUAACUUAAAAUGCACCACUUCUCACUACAAUUACUACUUAGAGAUGGGAGAGUUGUGUGCACACAUUGCCUGUAG